rnacentral:misc_RNA from 1 species
GGCAGCCAAAUGCCUCGUCAUCUG